AGCGAACGCUGGCGGCAGGCUUAACACAUGCCAGUCGAGCGGGCAUCCUUGUGGUGUCAGCGGCAGACGGGUGAGUAACGCGUGGGAACGUGCCCUUCGGUUCGGAAUAACUCAGGGAAACUUGAGCUAAUACCGGAUACGUGCGAGAGCAGAAAGGUUUAUCUGCCGAAGGAUCGGCCCGCGUCUGAUUAGCUAGUUGGUGAGGUUAUGGCUCACCAAGGCGACGAUCAGUAGCUGGUCUGAGAGGAUGAUCAGCCACACUGGGACUGAGACACGGCCCAGACUCCUACGGGAGGCAGCAGUGGGGAAUAUUGGACAAUGGGGGCAACCCUGAUCCAGCCAUGCCGCGUGAGUGAUGACGGCCUUAGGGUUGUAAAGCUCUUUUCUUCGGGACGAUAAUGACGGUACCGGAGGAAUAAGCCCAGGCUAACUUCGUG
rnacentral:rRNA from 1 species